AGAGAGAGAAGGAAGAGGAGGCGAAGGAGGGGGUGGGGAGGCAGAGACAGCGGAGAGACAGAGAUAAAAAAAAAAAAUGAAAAAAAAAAAAAAGAAGACAGUGAGGAACACUGGAGACUCGUCAGCGGAUAAUUCCCAAAGUGACCUCCUUGCUGCUCCCUCUCGGAUGCCGCUCCCGAAUAUCGGAUCUAAUGAAAGAGAGGAGACCGAAGGACACCAGAGGAGACCGGAGGAGACGUGAAGGAGGGAGAUGAGGGAGACAGUCACAGCCCGGUGCAGCAGCAGCAGCAGCAGCAGCAGCUCGCUUUCCUCUCCAGCAGACUACGCUGCUUUCCAAACCAUGCAGGGCCGACGUCUCGCUGACCCACUUUCUGCGCCGCCGCUUAAAGAGGGGAGCCGCCAAGUAGCUGUCCGCGGUGCUGAACCCGGGUACCGAGGAGGAGGAAGAGGAGGAGCGGAGGAAGAGGGAGAAGGAGGCAGAUCCUCCACCCAAGGCCCCCCCUUUGGUCUCUUGUCAUGAACCCACCACAGCGGUCGAUGCGACGCUGAAACUCAGCAGCAGACCGCUGUCACGUAUGUCACCGUGGGAGUGGAUGUGUGCACGCAGCGCUUAUGCAACGUUGCAAAGCUGCACGGCGGUGCAACGCGCAUAUUACAAUACACCGUGCAUUUUUUUCGGCUUUUGUGUUGUGUUUGCUUUAUUUAAGACUACCUAACAUGCAUAUUUAGCGCAAUUUCACUACUGUAAACUGAUUUAUCUUGAACAAGUCUUUAUUUAUGGCUAUGCGGCAUUCGGGUUUAUUCAAAUUAGAAUGAUAAAACGCCCUGGGACGCCCUCAGUCAGAGUCCGCUUGGUAUUAAAGAAGGCGCACUAUUGCCCCCUGUGGACAUUUAAUAAAGAAAACUGUCUGGCUCCCCACACUCGAAGGAAAUCGAUGCAUAACUGGUCAAAUAGUAAAAAAAAAAAAAUAGGUGAAGGAGAUGGAAAACUGUUCACCUCAAGUUCUGUGAAAACGAGUAGCCUGUUGUUUCACUUUUAAACCCUUGAAAUGGGGAAAAUCCUCCCGUAAGGUUUUAAUAGUGUAAAACCUAAGAAACGUUUUUCAGUGCGUCAGUCGUGGAAAUAAAAACAUGAAUUUGCUUCAAAUUAAUUUAGUUGCUAACAUCAUGUUGAAAAACACAAGUGAGGGGUCAAUCCGGAGGCACAACACAAAAUCAAUUCUCUAAUCAUGAGCGUUCCUCCGACGAUUAGAGUGCUGAUAUUGAUUAAAGUCUGCCUGCUUUUGUUUGCCCUUUAUUGUAAUUCUGACAAAUAUAGUACACUUCUGAAAGAAAUAAUCAGUAUGACCAUGCAAAGUCGACCAUACACGUGAAGAAGUAAAGCAGACAACGGAAUAUUGACUGGAUCGUCCUUCAACAAAUCAACACAAUAUCUUGAUGCAUGGCAGAAGUACGAGGCUUAUAAAGACCUUUUAGUAAUGCUAAGUAAAAACAAUCUUCAGCAGGACUGUGAAUCCUGAAGGAACCUUCAACUCUCAAAGGCUCCGGUCUCAGCGGGGUUUUCUUGGCGGUCGAUGAGACUAGAAGAACGUUCUGCGAGGGAAAGAGAGAGAAGAGAACAUGUUCUUUGCCAAGUAAAAAUGUUAAACCUGC